AGUGAACGCUGGCGGUAGGCCUAACACAUGCCAGUCGAACGGCAGCACAGUAAGAGCUUGCUCUUACGGGUGGCGAGUGGCGGACGGGUGAGGAAUACAUCGGAAUCUACUUUUUCGUGGGGGAUAACGUAGGGAAACUUACGCUAAUACCGCAUACGACCUACGGGUGAAAGCAGGGGAUCUUCGGACCUUGCGCGAUUGAAUGAGCCGAUGUCGGAUUAGCUAGUUGGCGGGGUAAAGGCCCACCAAGGCGACGAUCCGUAGCUGGUCUGAGAGGAUGAUCAGCCACACUGGACCUGAGACACGGUCCAGACUCCUACGGGAGGCAGCAGUGGGGAAUAUUGGACAAUAGGCGCAAGCCUGAUCCAGCCAUACCGCGUAGGUGAAGAAGGCCUUCGGGUUGUAAAGCCCUUUUGUUGGGAAAGAAAAGCAGCAGGUUAAUACCCCGCUGUUCUGACGGUACCCAAAGAAUAAGCACCGGCUAACUUCGUG
rnacentral:rRNA from 1 species